CAGCCUCAAGUGGGAACUGCUCUGAGGAAAGCUCUGUGUACUUGUGACAGGUAAAGGAGAAAGCGGGGCGGUAUAGUUCGGAGGAAACUGCCUCUCUGAGAAGGGAGUGUCUAGGAUGCGGCAAAGCAGGAGGGGGAGGCUCCUUCAGCUCAUACAUAAUCGCAUCAAAGCUGCCUCUCAAGAUCGGGUUAAGACCAUGAUGCUACUCUACCACCUCAAUCAAGGAUACCAGCCGCUACCCUCAAAGAGGACUCCAGGCGCUAGAGCAGACAAGAUAAAAGACCAGCCAUGCCCAUGCCCUGCACACAGUCUCUUCAGAGACUGUCACCACUUCUUUGCUUCAAUAAAGUAAUCUGUCUCUGUUGAGGUCAGUCUCUGUCUCUUUCUUUUAGGGGAUAUGAAAGGCCAGAACCUCAAAUUAUUUAAACCUAACUAUGCCUGUUUAUUACCUGUAUUUAAACAGAACAAUGCCAGUUUACUAACUGUAUUAUUUGUUUUGUUGCUGACUUUCUUAAGUUCCUUAUAUAACUUGGAUAUUAAUCCUUUAUCAGAUGCAUUAUUUGCAAAUAUUUUCUUCCAUUCUGUCAGUUAUCUCUUCAUUUUGUUGAGUGUUCCCAUUCUCUGCUUGAUGUAAUCCCAUUUAUCUAUCUUUGCUUUUAUUGAUGUGCUUCUGGUGUGAGGAGUCCAAUGGAUAAUAGGCAGUCAGGGGGGUCCCCUGGUAGAAAUUUGGAAUAGCAAGGUGCCUGCUCCCAUCCAAAAGGUUAUAUUUAGUAGAUCAAAGUGUCUUUCUUCCUUAGGAAUCUCAAAGUUUAUAAAUUUACCAUGAAAAUAACAAGGGAGUGGAUGAUUUUUUUUAUUCAUAAGCGAGCCAGAAAGGAUGGAGAAUUGUAAAUCAGUUUGUUGAGUUUAUCUCCACCUUGUUGAUUGACAGUUUGGUCUCCAAGAUUGUACUUUUAAAAACUUCAUUACCACCAGCCCUUUGGGUGUUCCUCUCUUGGAACCCCUCUCAUUGACUCUCUGGCAGGAGGUUUCCAACUUGAAUAAAUCUUACUUUAUUUUCACUGCGUGUCUGCGUGAUAAUUCUUUUGCAUGAGACAAAGAACUGAGGCCAUCUCUUCACACCAUUUUCCCAUAACACUGGGAUCUUUUCCAAGAAGUCUUUGUCUUUGCCAAUGUCUUGCAGAGUUUCUCCAAUGUUUUCUUCUAGUAAUUUUGGUAAAAUCAGGUCAUAGACUUAUAUCCUUGAUCAGUUGUGAAUUUAAAUUUUGUAUGGCAUAUAAGGUAGUGCUCUUGUUUCAUAGUUGUGCAUAUGAGGAAUCACCCAGAGAUCAUGAAGGAAUCCAAUUGUACCCACACCAUUUGUUAAAGAGACUGUCCUUUCUCAAGGGAGUGAUUUUGUUACCAGAAGGAAGGUUGUAGAAGCUGUGGGGUUCUUGUCUUCACACAAGAAAGAAUUCAGGUGUGAGACACAGAGUGGAGUGAUAACAUUUUACUGGUGGUAGGGCAUCCCUCAGAACUAAAGGGACAGAGAGAGAGUGCCCAGUCGCUGGGGCUGGGGGAGAGUGAGCAUGGUUGAGUGGAGAGAAUACACCUGGGCAGGCCAGGCGGGCUGCUCAGCAGAGAGGCAGAGAGCUGAAUGCUCUGUCCAUUUGGACUCCCUAGGUUUUUAAGGGAGUUAUAAAUUUAUAGAUUCCUACCUAACAAUUUUAGCUUAAUUGUCGAAGCAUAUUGCAUUGUUGAUGCAUAGAUUGAUUUCUGAGGUUUCUAAUUUUUUCCAUUGGUAUAUAUGUCUAUUUUCAUGCUAGUACCAGGCUACUUGAUACAACUAUCCUGUAUCAUGUUUUGGAAUCUGGUAUUGUGAUGGUUCUGGCUGUUUCUGUUGUUAAAAUUGCUUUAGUGGGUAGCGGGUAAAGCUGCUGCCUGCAGUGCCGGCAUCCCAUGUGGGAGCCGGUUCAAGUUCCGGCUGCUCCACUUCCAAUCCAGCUGUCUGCUAUGGCCUGGGAAAGCGAUGGAAGUUGUCCCAAGUCCUCGGGACCUUGCACCCAAGCCAGAGACCUGGAAGAGGCUCCUGGCUCUUGGGAUCAGUGCAGCUCUGGCCUUGUGGCCAUUUGGAGAGUGAACUAGUAGAUGGAAGACCUCUCUUUCUCUCUCUCUCUCUCUGCCUCUCUGAAAUUCUGCCUUUCAAAUAAAAUAAAUAAACCUUAAAAAAAUAAAAUUCCUUUAGCUAUUCUGGGUCUCUCUGUUUCUGUGUGAAUUUUAGCAUUAUUUCUCUAGAAAUGAGAAUGAUGUCCUUGGUAUUUUGAUUGGCUUCACAUUGAAUCUGUAAAUUGCUUUGGGUUGUAUGGACAUCUUUACUAUAUUAAGACUUCCAGUCCAUCAACAUGGAAUAUUUUUUACUGUGUCUUUUCUUUCUUAGUGUUUUAUAAUUUUCAUUAUAGAGAUCUUUCACAUCCUUAGUCAAAUUUAUUCCAAGAUAUUUAAUUUUUUGUAGCUUUUAUGAAUUAUAUCAAUUUUAUAAUUCCUUUUCAGCCAUGAUAUUGUUUGUGUGUAAAAAUGCUAUUGAUUUUUGUGUGUUGAUUUUAUAUCCUGCAAUUUUGGCAAACUCUCUUGUAAGUUCCAUUAGUAUCUUACUUAAUGAAGUAUUUUGGUUCCUCUAUGAAUGGGAUCAUGUAAUCUGAAACAGGGAUAAUCUGACUUUUUCUUUUCCCAUUUGUAUCACUUUGAUUUCUUUUCUUGUCUAAUGGCUCUGGCAAAAACUUCCAGAACUAUAUUGAGUAGUAAUGGUGACAGUGGGCAACCUUGUCUGGUUCCGAUUCUUAAUGCUUCCAGGUUUUCCCCAUUCAGUAUGAUGCUAGCUGUGGUUUUAUCAUAUAUUACCUUGAUUGUGUUGAGAUAUAUUCCUUCUACACACAAUUUGCUUGGGGUUUUUAAAAUUUUUUUCAUGAAUGGAUGCUGUAGUUUAGCGAAUGCUUUCUCUACAUCUAUUGAGAUAAUCAUGCUUUUAUUUAUCAAUUUUUUAAUUUGAUGUAUCACAUUUAUGAUUUGCAUAUGUUGAACCAUCCCUAAAAUGUCAAAUUUAUAGGCUAUAUAGCCCACUUAAGAUUUUCAGUUCACUCUAUCCCACAUAUCACAAAAACUUAAGCUGAUAUUUUCAUAAUCUAUUUACUGUUCCUGAAAUGUAUUUAGAAUUAUGACCAAGAAUGAGAGUCUUUCUUGUGUUGUCUCUAACCCAGUUCAGAAUCAAGAGACAGUUCAUAUAUCUAUCUGCAAAAAGCAAACAAAAAUCAAUAAUACAAACAAAUCACCUAAUGAGAAAUUCAUACAAUGUCACAAUACAUUAGAGGUGUUUUGAAAAAGUUAUGAAAAAUGUAUAUUAUCAAAAAAGUGCGUAUGUAUGUAAAAACACUUUGCAACCAAAUUAGCUUAUAUUUUCAUUCAAUUUCCCACAGUUUUUGA